GAUGAACGCUGGCGGCGUGCCUAAUACAUGCAAGUCGAGCGAACAGACGCGGAGCUUGCUCCUCUGACGUUAGCGGCGCACGGGUGAGUAACACGUGGAUAACCUCCCUAUAUGACUGGGAUAACUUCGGGACACCGGCGCUAAUCCCGGAUAAUAUCUUGAACCGCAUGGUUCAUUAGUGAAAGACGGUUUUGCUGUCACUUCUCGCUGCUUCCCGGCCGGAUUAGCUAGUUGGUACGGUAACGGCUUACGACGGCGACGAUGCGUAGCCGACCGGAGGGGGGGAUCGGCGACCCUGGAGCGUGGACGCGGUCCAGACGCCUACGGGAGGGAGCAGAAGGGAAUCGGCGGCAAUGGGCGAAAGCCUGACGGAGCAACGCGGCGUGAGUGACGAAGGUCUUCGGAGCGGAAAACUCUGUUAUUAGGGAAGAACAGAUGUGUAAGGAACUAUGCACGGCUUGACGGUACCGAAUCAGAAAGCCACGGCUAACUACGUG
rnacentral:rRNA from 1 species